rnacentral:rRNA from 1 species
CAACCUGCCUUACACUCUUGGACAGCCUUCUGAAAGGGAGAUUAAUACAAGAUGUUAUCAUGAGUAAGCAUUUUCGCAUGAUUAAAGGUUUACCGGUGUAAGAUGGGGAUGCGUUCCAUUAGAUAGUAGGCGGGGUAACGGCCCACCUAGUCUUCGAUGGAUAGGGGUUCUGAGAGGAAGGUCCCCCACAUUGGAACUGAGACACGGUCCAAACUCCUACGGGAGGCAGCAGUGAGGAAUAUUGGUCAAUGGACGAGAGUCUGAACCAGCCAAGUAGCGCGAAGGAUGAAGGUUUUAUGGAUUGUAAACUUCUUUUAUACGGGAAUAAACGAAUCCACGCGUGGAUUUUUGCAUGUACCGUAUGAAUAAGGAUCGGCUAACUCCGUGCCAGCAGCCGCGGUAAUACGGAGGAUCCGAGCGUUAUCCGGAUUUAUUGGGUUUAAAGGGAGCGUAGAUGGGUUGUUAAGUCAGUUGUGAAAGUUUGCGGCUCAACCGUAAAAUUGCAAUUGAUACUGGCAGU